CGAUGAUGAUGAUGAUGAUGAUGAUGAUGAUGAUGAUGAUGAUGAUGAGUAUGCAUCACUGGGUGCAGGCCACGAACGAUCGUCCUAUGGUUGUUUCAUGUUCCACCCUUCGUCACCUCCUUUUUCGCAGAAGUUAUCAUCAUCGUCGUCGUCGUCAUCGUCAUCAUCAUGAUCA
rnacentral:pre_miRNA from 1 species